GUUUUCUCCAAAAGCAAGAAAAUAAAUCACAUGAUUUCACAUCUGGAGAAUAAAACUGAAGGAAGCUAUCCCAAAUUUCAGGUCAAAACAAGCACAGCCACUUCCCAGCAUGAUAUUUCCUAUUGCAACUCCUCCUCCCCUCCUCCAGUCCACCAAAUUCAAACAAAGCACUCUGACAAGUGGGGUUCGUUCUGCAGCUCAUACCAGGAUGUGAUGAGCCAACCAGGGGAUGUUUUAUGGUGUUUGCAUGGCAUGGAUCAACUUUCCUCAUCCUUGAGUAAUAAAAUCAAAAAUGCAGGUAAAUGCUGA
rnacentral:lncRNA from 1 species